rnacentral:rRNA from 1 species
GAUGAACGCUGGCGGCGUGCUUAACACAUGCAAGUCGAACGGAAAGGCUCCUGCUUGCCGGGGUACUCGAGUGGCGAACGGGUGAGUAACACGUGGGUGAUCUGCCCUGCACUUCGGGAUAAGCCUGGGAAACUGGGUCUAAUACCGGAUAGGACCACAUUUUGGAUGGUGUGGUGGAAAGUUUUUCGGUGUGGGAUGAGCUCGCGGCCUAUCAGCUUGUUGGUGGGGUAAUGGCCUACCAAGGCGUCGACGGGUAGCCGGCCUGAGAGGGUGUACGGCCACAUUGAGACUGAGAUACGGCCCAGACUCCUACGGGAGGCAGCAGUGGGGAAUAUUGCACAAUGGGCGCAAGCCUGAUGCAGCGACGCCGCGUGGGGGAUGACGGCCUUCGGGUUGUAAACUCCUUUCGCUAGGGACGAAGCGCAAGUGACGGUACCUGGAGAAGAAGCACCGGCUAACUACGUG